AGAGUUUGAUCCUGGCUCAGGAUGAACGCUGGCGGCGUGCCUAAUACAUGCAAGUCGAGCGAACGGACGAGAAGCUUGCUUCUCUGAUGUUAGCGGCGGACGGGUGAGUAACACGUGGAUAACCUACCUAUAAGACUGGGAUAACUUCGGGAAACCGGAGCUAAUACCGGAUAAUAUUUUGAACCGCAUGGUUCAAAAGUGAAAGACGGUCUUGCUGUCACUUAUAGAUGGAUCCGCGCUGCAUUAGCUAGUUGGUAAGGUAACGGCUUACCAAGGCAACGAUGCAUAGCCGACCUGAGAGGGUGAUCGGCCACACUGGAACUGAGACACGGUCCAGACUCCUACGGGAGGCAGCAGUAGGGAAUCUUCCGCAAUGGGCGAAAGCCUGACGGAGCAACGCCGCGUGAGUGAUGAAGGUCUUCGGAUCGUAAAACUCUGUUAUUAGGGAAGAACAUAUGUGUAAGUAACUGUGCACAUCUUGACGGUACCUAAUCAGAAAGCCACGGCUAACUACGUGCCAGCAGCCGCGGUAAUACGUAGGUGGCAAGCGUUAUCCGGAAUUAUUGGGCGUAAAGCGCGCGUAGGCGGUUUUUUAAGUCUGAUGUGAAAGCCCACGGCUCAACCGUGGAGGGUCAUUGGAAACUGGAAAACUUGAGUGCAGAAGAGGAAAGUGGAAUUCCAUGUGUAGCGGUGAAAUGCGCAGAGAUAUGGAGGAACACCAGUGGCGAAGGCGACUUUCUGGUCUGUAACUGACGCUGAUGUGCGAAAGCGUGGGGAUCAAACAGGAUUAGAUACCCUGGUAGUCCACGCCGUAAACGAUGAGUGCUAAGUGUUAGGGGGUUUCCGCCCCUUAGUGCUGCAGCUAACGCAUUAAGCACUCCGCCUGGGGAGUACGACCGCAAGGUUGAAACUCAAAGGAAUUGACGGGGACCCGCACAAGCGGUGGAGCAUGUGGUUUAAUUCGAAGCAACGCGAAGAACCUUACCAAAUCUUGACAUCCUUUGACAACUCUAGAGAUAGAGCUUUCCCCUUCGGGGGACAAAGUGACAGGUGGUGCAUGGUUGUCGUCAGCUCGUG
rnacentral:rRNA from 2 species